CAAUGGUACCCGACGUUCGGAUAGAUCGAAGAGUCGCAAUCGCAACACUCAGAACCUACAUGAAUAUGGUUACUAUAUAAUUCAUCCUUUUGACCCCUGUGUUUUGGAUGACUCAGGGUUAAACUGUCAACCCUGAUCAGAUCAUCCGAAUCGUGCUCAACUCAAACAGUCCUGUGACUCCUCACAAGGACUACCCUAGCCAAGGUUUUGCUAAAUUGAAACAUGACUGUACACAACUCCUAAACUAGAGUGGUCAAUCCCAUCUUGACACACGCACCGACAAGUCAAGUACUUGACUACACCCAGCAGUCUUCCGUCACUGAAUUAAAAAUUCAGGUAGUCCAGUGCCUAAGUGCAGUGAGUUACUUGCAAGUCACCGUGGCGGUCUC
rnacentral:lncRNA from 1 species